rnacentral:rRNA from 1 species
UUGGGAAUCUUGGACAAUGGGGGAAACCCUGAUCCAGCCAUGCCGCGUGAGUGAUGAAGGCCUUAGGGUUGUAAAGCUCUUUCGCACGCGACGAUAAUGACGGUAGCGUGAGAAGAAGCCCCGGCUAACUUCGUGCCAGCAGCCGCGGUAAUACGAAGGGGGCUAGCGUUGUUCGGAAUUACUGGGCGUAAAGCGCGCGCAGGCGGGUCAUCAAGUCAGAGGUGAAAGCCCGGAGCUUAACUCCGGAAUAGCCUUUGAAACUGUUGAUCUUGAGUACGGGAGAGGUUAGUGGAAUUCCCAGUGUAGAGGUGAAAUUCGUAGAUAUUGGGAAGAACACCAGUGGCGAAGGCGGCUCACUGGCCCGUUACUGACGCUCAGGCGCGAUAGCGUGGGGAUCAAACA